GGGAGGAACCUUCCUGUUUUGGCUAAAACUGUCCCUCAGUCUGCUGAGGCUGGGAUCUCAUGACUCACUCUGAGCUUCCUCGUUCCUGAGUUCAUAUUUUAAGUACUCAAUAGAGAGAAACUCCAGUUCCUUAGACAGACACGUGACUGAGUUAGGGUUGUCUUAGUUAGCGUUGCUAUUUUGAUGAGGAAACCCUGCGACCAAAAUCAAGCUGGGAGGAAAGGAUUUAUCUGACUUCCACUGCCACACCGUAGUCCAUCAUCAGAGGAAGUUAGGACAGGAGCUCAAACAGGGCAGAAACCCAGAGACAGGAGCUGAUGCAGAUGCCAUGGAGGGAUGCUGCUUACUGGCUUGCUCCUCAUGACUUGCUCACCCCAAUUGCUUAUAGAGCCUGAACCACCUGCUCAGUAGUGGCUACCCGUAAUGAACGGGGCCUUCCCCCAUCAAUCACUAACUAAGGAAAUUCUAUACAGUUCAGGUUGAUAUAAACCUAGCCAGAACACUUCUUUAUCCUAAUUUCUUCUCUCCCCUCUUUCUGUCCCUUUGAUUUUUGCUAUUUUCAUAGAUUUUUACUGUUUGCCCUACACUUUAAUAAACUGCUUUUCUCUUGUUGAUUUCACAAUAACACAAACUUAGGCUGUGAAAACAGAUAUUUUCAUACUCAAACAUGAGAAAUUUUCACUUUUAUUGGCCCUGCCAUAUGGAAACUUCAGUUACCUUAGUUAUAUAACAUCAAUCCUUCAACUAUACAGUUGUAUUUCAGGGACCACAGUAUCUGAACUGAGUAAUUGCACACAGUAUAAACAGUUGCUGUUAUGUAAACAGAUGCUAAUCAUGAUUACAGGCAGAAAAUAAAGCAUGUAGGUGUCUCACCUCAUAGUUUCCCAGCUCUUGAAGUAGAUGAUGAAAUACUUUUAUAUUUAAAGAACAAUAUUGUCAGUUGAUUCUCUUGGAGACUAGGGAGUGAAGAAUUUGCUUUUAUCACCAAACAAGUUUACUAGUCAAUUUUGUCAGACAAGGAAUUUUUUUUGUUUUGGUUUGUUUUUAGGGUUUCUCUAUAGCUUUAGAGCCUGUCCUGGACACUCUAUAGACCAGACUGGUCUUGAACUCACAGAGAUCAAGGUGCCUCUGCCUCCCAAGAGCUGGAUUAAAGUCAUGUACAACCACCUCCUAUCGGAAUUUUUUUUAAGUUUCUUCUGCAGUACUGAGGACUGAAUACAUUUAUGCAUUAGGGUAGGAAGUCAAAGUAGACAAUAUCCAUACAUAGAAUAUGGCAUGAACUUUUAGUCCAUUUGCAAGUAACUUGUCAUGAUAAAGAUAAGGAGAGUUACAAUAGAUGACUGUGGUACCUUUCCACUGGUAUGACAAAAAUACCCAAAAUGACUUAAGAAGAGGAAAAAAUGGUUUUGCUCAUGGUUACAGAGGUUUCAGUCCAUGGUUGCUUGGUCCUGCUGCUUUUCAUUUCUAGCAAAGCAGAGCAUCAUGGGUGAGCACAGCACAGGUGCUCACUUCCUGGUGUCCAGAAAACAAGAGAAGAGCUAAGAUCUUAGUGGCUUCUUUGAGGAAUAGCUAGACAACCUGACUUCCCACUACAAGGCCUUAUGUCCUAAUAGUGCCACUUCAGAGGCCUAGGCCUCAGCCUGUGGGCCUAUGCCGGACACUCCAGAGCCAGACUAUAGCACUGGCCAUGGGCAUGAGGACACUGCUGGUUCUGGAGUUAGGCCUCAGCAUAUGUGUAGAAAGUGAUUGCAGUGAAAACCAUGUGGGAGCUCUUAUGUGACAGCAGCAAAGGAAACUUCACUUCAGCAGAAUUCUGUUUUGUUGAAAGCACAAAGGAAAAAUAUGAUGUUUAGAAGAUAAUCUAAACUUAGAAAAAUGAGUGACAAUCCAAACUUAGAAAGAAGUGUGACAACUCAUUAAAGAGCAGAAAGAGGUCUACCAUCUUAUAAAUUAAACAUUGAAAAGCAAGCACUCUUGAAACUAUUCUGGAUAAGCUAGUCAGUUAGUUAGUUGGUUAGUUAGUUUGUUUAUUUACUUAUUUUAUUGAGAUAGAGUUUAUCUGUGCAGCCCCAGCUUUCCUGGAACUCAUUAUGUAGACCAGACUGGCCUCAAACUCUGAGGCCUCCCUAUCAAGUGUUGGUAUUAAAAGCAUAUACCACUAUGUCCAGUUUUUUUAGAAGCUAAGUGCUUUAAUUAAUCAUGUUUAUAUGGCCUUCAUUUACUACAUAAAUGGUAUGUUUAGUUUUUAAAUUCACUUGGUAAUGAAUAAUUUUGUUUGUGUUUUUCAAGACAGCAUUUUUCUGUAUAAUAUCCCUAACUGUCCUGGAGCUAGCUCUGUAGACCAAGCUGAAAUCAAAGUCACAGAGAUCUGCCUGCCUCUGCCUGAUAAUUUUUUAUUUUGUGUUUUAACAGCAAUUUUGAACAAUCAUGGUUUUCCACAUUGACUAAGAUUGUUUCCUAUGGAUGGAUUUACUAUCCAGCCUGGGGAAUGAUGCUACCACAUCCAGGAACACAGGUCUUCCCACCUCAAUGGCCACAGACAAACUUGCUUUAGGAACCAGGUCUGGUGAAGUCCUGGACACUGGCCAAAAGAUGGAGCACAUAAACUGAACAUCACAAAUGCUGUGACUCCAGGCCAAAGAAUGAAGUCCAGACGGGAGAAGGAUCACCAGGUCUGGGAUUUGGGCUGGCAGUGGGACUCCAGAGCCGCUUAAUCACUGCCUGGGAUGGACUCAAAGGCGCAGCUGCCUGACUGAACUUGUCUCACAGAAAUGAGGACUGGUUAAAGCGGAAUCCUGCUGUACACACUCCAUCUUCCUGACAACGGCUGUUGUGUUCUGAGGGCUCAGAAAGCCAUACCCUAAAUAGUGUUUGCGCAUGCCAAAUACUUUGAAGUAAAGGAAGUCAGAAAACCAAAAAGCUGUGUCAGGUCCAAGAUGGCUCUGCCUUAGCCGUAGCCAAGCCACCCAACCAGUCACUCAGGUAAAAGCUUGUCUCUGAAGUCACCUUAUCUGCUCAAAGGCAGAACUGCUGAGAAGAGAACAUAGCUGCCUUUCAGUCUUUUACCGAAAUUUCGUUUUCCAAGCAGGAUUGGACUGAUGUCAAAAAGAGAAGACUGAAAACCAAACACCACACCCAGAGCACAGAGAACUUCCUAGAAGACCAAGAGCAGUCUCCAUAGCUGUUUUUCUUUUAUAAACAUCACUGACCACCCCCCAAUUGCCUCCAGCCCCAUUUGCUUCUCCCUAUGAAGAUGGGUGUGUGGAUUUUUGCAUGCUGCUGUGUUAUUGGAUGCUUACAAGCAUGGAAAAGGGCUCCUGUGCCUUUUCUUCCCACCGCUGGUCUAUCGCCAGUUUAGCCGGGCAGAUUUAGACCAGCAGAUUUGACGACACUAAUCUUCAGAAGAGGAGAAAGAGUUUCCUGCUACCCCAUAUUCACAAGAAACAUUUUGCUCCAUGUGAGGCUCCAUUAAGAAGAAUAACAAAAAAGAUUAAGGCUGUAUUUCUGUUCAAUGAUUUUAGAGAAAGAAGGCAGAAUGGAUCAAUUGAAGUCAAAAUAAUAGUCUUAAAAACAUGGUUAUUUUUAUAAUACAAAAUACCAUCUACUAGAAAAUGUAACAGGCAGUCAAGCACUUAUGCAUGUCUUUAUGCACAGUGCACACACAUACGCAUGUGUGCACAUACACACACAGACACACACGUGUAUGCAUGCACAUACACACACACACACACACACACACACACACACUCAGCUCCCCUAACACAAUGAAAAACCAUCCCUAAGUACAGAUAACUAUGAACAAGGAGAUUCUAAUGAUUAAAAUCUGGAAAAUUAUUGUUUACCUCAUAAAGCCUUUAGGUAAUAUA